CGAAAUUCGAUACGUAAUGUGAAUUGCAGAAUUCAGUGAAUCAUCGAAUCUUUGAACGCAUAUUGCG
rnacentral:rRNA from 1 species